rnacentral:rRNA from 1 species
CAGCGAUGUGUGGCAUACGGCUCAGUAACACGUAGUCAACAUGCCCAGGGGACGUGGAUAACCUCGGGAAACUGAGGAUAAACCGCGAUAGGUCAUCACUUCUGGAAUGGGUAAUGACCCAAACCUACAUGGCCCCUGGAUUGGACUGCGGCCGAUCAGGCUGUUGGUGAGGUAAUGGCCCACCAAACCUGUAACCGGUACGGGCUCUGAGAGGAGGAGCCCGGAGAUGGGCACUGAGACAAGGGCCCAGGCCCUAUGGGGCGCAGCAGGCGCGAAACCUCUGCAAUAGGCGAAAGCUUGACAGGGUUACUCUGAGUGAUUUCCGUUAAGGAGAUCUUUUGGCACCUCUAAAAAUGGUGCAGAAUAAGGGGUGGGCAAGUCUGGUGUCAGCCGCCGCGGUAAUACCAGCACCCCGAGUGGUCGGGACGUUUAUUGGGCCUAAAGCAUCCGUAGCCGGUUCUACAAGUCUUCCGUUAAAUCCACCUGCUUAACAGAUGGGCUGCGGAAGAUACUAUAGAGCUAGGAGGCGGGAGAGGCAAGCGGUACUCGAUGGGUAGGGGUAAAAUCCGUUGAUCCAUUGAAGACCACCAGUGGCGAAGGCGGCUUGCCAGAACGCGCUCGACGGUGAGGGAUGAAAGCUGGGGGAGCAAACCGGAUUAGAUACCCGGGUAGUCCCAGCUGUAAACGAUGCAGACUCGGUGAUGAGUUAGCUUAUUGCUAACUCAGUGCCGCAGGGAAGCCGUUAAGUUUGCCGCCU